rnacentral:rRNA from 1 species
UUGAACGCUGGCGGCAGGCCUAACACAUGCAAGUCGAGCGGUAGCACAGAGAGCUUGCUCUCGGGUGACGAGCGGCGGACGGGUGAGUAAUGUCUGGGAAACUGCCUGAUGGAGGGGGAUAACUACUGGAAACGGUAGCUAAUACCGCAUAAUGUCGCAAGACCAAAGUGGGGGACCUUCGGGCCUCAUGCCAUCAGAUGUGCCCAGAUGGGAUUAGCUAGUAGGUGGGGUAACGGCUCACCUAGGCGACGAUCCCUAGCUGGUCUGAGAGGAUGACCAGCCACACUGGAACUGAGACACGGUCCAGACUCCUACGGGAGGCAGCAGUGGGGAAUAUUGCACAAUGGGCGCAAGCCUGAUGCAGCCAUGCCGCGUGUGUGAAGAAGGCCUUCGGGUUGUAAAGCACUUUCAGCGGGGAGGAAGGCGUUAAGGUUAAUAACCUUGGCGAUUGACGUUACCCGCAGAAGAAGCACCGGCUAACUCCGUGCCAGCAGCCGCGGUAAUACGUAUGGUGCAAGCGUUAUCCGGAUUUACUGGGUGUAAAGGGAGCGCAGGCGGAAGGCUAAGUCUGAUGUGAAAGCCCGGGGCUCAACCCCGGUACUGCAUUGGAAACUGGUCAUCUAGAGUGUCGGAGGGGUAAGUGGAAUUCCUAGUGUAGCGGUGAAAUGCGUAGAGAUCUGGAGGAAUACCGGUGGCGAAGGCGGCCCCCUGGACGAAGACUGACGCUCAGGUGCGAAAGCGUGGGGAGCAAACAGGAUUAGAUACCCUGGUAGUCCACGCCGUAAACGAUGUCGACUUGGAGGUUGUGCCCUUGAGGCGUGGCUUCCGGAGCUAACGCGUUAAAUCGACCGCCUGGGGAGUACGGCCGCAAGGUUAAAACUCAAAUGAAUUGACGGGGGCCCGCACAAGCGGUGGAGCAUGUGGUUUAAUUCGAUGCAACGCGAAGAACCUUACCUGGUCUUGACAUCCACAGAACUUUCCAGAGAUGGAUUGGUGCCUUCGGGAACUGUGAGACAGGUGCUGCAUGGCUGUCGUCAGCUCGUGUUGUGAAAUGUUGGGUUAAGUCCCGCAACGAGCGCAACCCUUAUCCUUUGUUGCCAGCGGUUCGGCCGGGAACUCAAAGGAGACUGCCAGUGAUAAACUGGAGGAAGGUGGGGAUGACGUCAAGUCAUCAUGGCCCUUACGACCAGGGCUACACACGUGCUACAAUGGCAUAUACAAAGAGAAGCGACCUCGCGAGAGCAAGCGGACCUCAUAAAGUAUGUCGUAGUCCGGAUUGGAGUCUGCAACUCGACUCCAUGAAGUCGGAAUCGCUAGUAAUCGUAGAUCAGAAUGCUACGGUGAAUACGUUCCCGGGCCUUGUACACACCGCCCGUCACACCAUGGGAGUGGGUUGCAAAAGAAGUAGGUAGCUUAACCUUCGGGAGGGCGCUUACCACUUUGUGAUUCAUGACUGGGGUG